rnacentral:misc_RNA from 1 species
AUGAAGAUAUUCGUGGGCAACGUCGACGGGGCGGAUACGACUCCGGAGGAGCUGGCAGCCCUCUUUGCGCCCUACGGCACGGUCAUGAGCUGCGCCGUCAUGAAACAGUUCGCCUUCGUGCACAUGCGCGAGAACGCGGGCGCGCUGCGCGCCAUCGAAGCCCUGCACGGCCACGAGCUGCGGCCGGGGCGCGCGCUCGUGGUGGAGAUGUCGCGCCCAAGGCCUCUUAAUACUUGGAAGAUUUUCGUGGGCAAUGUGUCGGCUGCAUGCACGAGCCAGGAACUGCGCAGCCUCUUCGAGCGCCGCGGACGCGUCAUCGAGUGUGACGUGGUGAAAGGCUCUUGUCAGGAUGGUGAAGCUGUUCAUCGGAAACCUGCCCCGGGAGGCUACAGAGCAGGAGAUUCGCUCACUCUUCGAGCAGUAUGGGAAGGUGCUGGAAUGUGACAUCAUUAAGAAUUACGGCUUUGUGCACAUAGAAGACAAGACGGCAGCUGAGGAUGCCAUACGCAACCUGCACCAUUACAAGCUUCAUGGGGUGAACAUCAACGUGGAAGCCAGCAAGAAUAAGAGCAAAACCUCAACAAAGUUGCAUGUGGGCAACAUCAGUCCCACCUGCACCAAUAAGGAGCUUCGAGCCAAGUUUGAGGAGUAUGGUCCGGUCAUCGAAUGUGACAUCGUGAAAGAUUAUGCCUUCGUACACAUGGAGCGGGCAGAGGAUGCAGUGGAGGCCAUCAGGGGCCUUGAUAACACAGAGUUUCAAGGCAAACGAAUGCACGUGCAGUUGUCCACCAGCCGGCUUAGGACUGCGCCCGGGAUGGGAGACCAGAGCGGCUGCUAUCGGUGCGGGAAAGAGGGGCACUGGUCCAAAGAGUGUCCGAUAGAUCGUUCAGGCCGCGUGGCAGACUUGACCGAGCAAUAUAAUGAGCAAUACGGAGCAGUGCGUACGCCUUACACCAUGAGCUAUGGGGAUUCAUUGUAUUACAACAACGCGUACGGAGCGCUCGAUGCCUACUACAAGCGCUGCCGUGCUGCCCGGUCCUAUGAGGCAGUGGCAGCUGCAGCUGCCUCCGUGUAUAAUUACGCAGAGCAGACCCUGUCCCAGCUGCCACAAGUCCAGAAUACAGCCAUGGCCAGUCACCUCACCUCCACCUCUCUCGAUCCCUACGAUAGACACCUGUUGCCGACCUCAGGAGCUGCUGCCACAGCUGCUGCUGCAGCAGCAGCCGCUGCUGCUGUUACUGCAGCUUCCACUUCAUAUUACGGGCGGGAUCGGAGCCCCCUGCGUCGCGCUACAGCCCCAGUCCCCACUGUUGGAGAGGGCUACGGUUACGGGCAUGAGAGUGAGUUGUCCCAAGCUUCAGCAGCCGCGCGGAAUUCUCUGUACGACAUGGCCCGGUAUGAGCGGGAGCAGUAUGCCGAUCGGGCGCGGUACUCAGCCUUUUAAAGCUU